GAUGAAGAACGUAGCGAAAUGCGAUAAGUAAUGUGAAUUGCAGAAUUCAGUGAAUCAUCGAAUCUUUGAACGCACAUUGCGCCCCCCAGUAUUCUGGCGGGCAUGCCUGUUCGAGCGUCAUUUCAACCAUCAAGCCCUGCUUGUGUUGGGGUCCUGCGGCUGCCCGCAGGCCCUGAAAACCAGUGGCGGGCUCGCUAGUCACACCGAGCGCAGGAGCACAUCUCGCUCAGGGCGUGCGGCGGGCUCCAGCCGUUAAAGCACCCACCUUUCGCAAGGUUGACCUCGGAUCAGGUAGGAAUACCCGCUGAACUUAAGCAUAUCAAUAAGCGGAGGA
rnacentral:misc_RNA from 1 species